UACGGGGGGGGGCAAGCGUUGUUCGGAAUUACUGGGCGUAAAGGGCUCGUAGGCGGCCAACUAAGUCCGACGUGAAAUCCCCAGGCUUAACCUGGGAACUGCGUCGGAUACUGGAUGGCUUGAAUUCGGGAGAGGGAUGCAGAAUUCCAGGUGUAGCGGUGAAAUGCGUAGAUAUCUGGAGGAAUACCGGUGGCGAAGGCGGCAUCCUGGACCGACAUUGACGCUGAGGAGCGAAAGCUAGGGGAGCAAACAGG
rnacentral:rRNA from 1 species